UGGCCAUUGAAACACAGGAACACAAAAGAGAGCGUGAGACAGGGGGAAAAAAAUCACAUUCAGAUUUGAGAGAAACCGUGCAAAUAUUCUACUCACCAUUUUGCCUCAUUUUCUCAGGCAACAGCUAACACACAACAGUGUGUGUGGGUGCGAGUGCCUAUGUGUGUGUCACUGCUCAUGGACAGGUCUGUUGUGCUGAGGUGACAGACAGAAUGUGAUGGAAAAAGAGAUGGAGAUAGAAAUCAAAGAAAAUAUCUGGCACAUAGAUUUACAACCCAG